rnacentral:rRNA from 1 species
AUUGAACGCUGGCGGCAGGCUUAAUACAUGCAAGUCGAACGGUAGCAGCAGGAAGGCUUGUCUUUCUGGCUGACGAGUGGCGGACGGGUGAGUAAUACCUGGGAAACUGCCUACAAGAGGGGGACAACACCUGGAAACGGGUGCUAAUACCGCAUAAGCCCUGAGGGGAAAAGGAUGGGAAACCAUGCGCUUGUAGAUGUGCCCAGGAGGGAUUAGCUUGUUGGGGAGGCAAAGGCUCACCAAGGCGACGAUCUCUAGCUGGUCUGAGAGGAUGAUCAGCCACAUUGGGACUGAGACACGGCCCAGACUCC